UCAUAAGCUGCUCCCAGUUUAUGAAACCUCACACCUCCAUCUCCAGACAACGCUGAGAUCCCUCAGGAAGGCAGGAGUGUGGUCUAUAAGAUGAAACUUUUGGGUGUUUUCCUGUGUUUGGUGGCAUCCCUUCAUGGUGUCCUGUCCCAGGUGCAGCUGCAGGAGUCGGGGCCUGGCCUGGUGAAGCCAUCGCAGAGCCUGUCCAUCACCUGCACGGUCUCUGGAUUCUCCAUCACAACUACAAAUUACUGGUGGCACUGGAUCUGUCAGCCUCCAGGAAAGAGUCUGGAGUGGUUAGGGGAGAUAAGCUACGAUGGUAACACUAAAUACAACCCGUCUGUUAAGAGCCGCCUUUCCAUCGCCAGAGACACAGGCAAGAACCAGUUCUCUCUGCAGCUGACCUCUGUCACCACAGAGGACACAGCCACCUAUUACUGUGCAAGAAACACAGUGCUUUGA